rnacentral:rRNA from 1 species
CUUCCGUAGGUGAACCUGCGGAAGGAUCAUUACUGACUUCCGUAGGUGAACCUGCGGAAGGAUCAUUACCAAUUUCGGGGGACUUCGGUCCCUGUCUGAAACCCUUGUCUUUUGAGUACCAUUUGUUUCCUUGGUAGGCUUUGCCUACCAAUAGGACACCACUUAACCUCUUGUAAUUGCAAUCAGCGUCAGAAAAACAUAAUAGUUACAACUUUCAACAACGGAUCUCUUGGUUCUGGCAUCGAUGAAGAACGCAGCGAAAUGCGAAAAGUAGUGUGAAUUGCAGAAUUCAGUGAAUCAUCGAAUCUUUGAACGCACAUUGCGCCCCUUGGUAUUCCAUGGGGCAUGCCUGUUCGAGCGUCAUUUGUAUCUUCAAGCUCUGCUUGGUGUUGGGUGUUUGUCCCGCUUUGUGCUGUGGACUCGCCUUAAAGCAAUUGGCAGCCGGCGUACUAGUCUGGGAGCGCAGCACAAUUUGCGCCUCUGAACCUGAACGCUUGCGUCCAUGAAGUCUAUACUU